GACGAACGCUGGCGGCGUGCUUAACACAUGCAAGUCGAACGGAAAGGCCCUGCUUUUGUGGGGUGCUCGAGUGGCGAACGGGUGAGUAACACGUGAGUAACCUGCCCUUGACUUUGGGAUAACUUCAGGAGACUGGGGCUAAUACCGGAUAGGAGCUCCUGCUGCAUGGUGGGGGUUGGAAAGUUUCGGCGGUUGGGGAUGGACUCGCGGCUUAUCAGCUUGUUGGUGGGGUAGUGGCUUACCAAGGCUUUGACGGGUAGCCGGCCUGAGAGGGUGACCGGCAACAUUGGGACUGAGAUACGGCCCAGACUCCUACGGGAGGCAGCAGUGGGGAAUAUUGCACAAUGGGCGGAAGCCUGAUGCAGCAACGCCGCGUGCGGGAUGACGGCCUUCGGGUUGUAAACCGCUUUCGCCUGUGACGAAGCGUGAGUGACGGUAAUGGGUAAAGAAGCACCGGCUAACUACGUG
rnacentral:rRNA from 1 species